AACGCCCCAACAAGAUGUAGACACUUCACAGCUUCUUCUUAUUAUUUCAAAUGACGUUGAACUUAACCCUGGACCGAUAUUCCAGACAAUACCGGUCCCUGUGGAAGCGGUUGGCUCAAGCGAGAAGAUGACGAUAAUUACAGUGAAAAUGGACUGACCAUACACGAAAGACAAAGGACAUUAAAUAUUUACACAAAUUUUGCACCUGUAAAAUGUGACAUUCAUAUACGUGAAUGCUAUAAUUCAAUUAGUAAGCCAUGCAGAAUUCUUUGGGAUGAAGGGGACUUAGAUUGUUACAUGUAGUAAGUAGGGAUACAGCAGCAGGAGAUGAAAUAGGGUGGGAAUUUGUAUCUAUGGUUAUGAAUUCUAGUUGCACUUUUUUCCUCUUACUGCCAGUUUAAAAAUGAGAUGUAUAAAACUCGCCACAAUAAGGCUAGGUUUAUGGAUCAAACAGUUUUUUUUUAAUUUUUGGUUCAGUUGGGCUUCAAACAUGAAAAUAGAUUAUUCUAAAGUUGAAACUUCUGCUCGAGGAACAUCAACAUUAUUUCUUUGGUUCUGUGCAGACCAUGGACAUUGCUAUGGUUUCCACAUGACUGGGGCAGAAGGAAGAAAAGAUCCCGCAUUAUCACUCUAUAGCUAUUUAGAAACCCCUCCACAAGACGUGUUUUAUGACUUUGCAUGUAAUUUACAAGAAUAUUGCCUAAACAGAGAAAGUGGAUACUAUAAAAAAUGAACUUUUUUUUCAUGACAUUUUCCAUGGCUACUCCCACAAAUGUUCUAGUGCUUUUACAGCUAGCAGACUUCAAGGCUUUGAAUCUGUAAAAAUCUGAAAUAUGUGAACAAUUCAACAGCUUUAUACAGUGCAUUAAAAGGUUGGCCCGUCAGAUGUCACAGUCACACUUUUGCUUUUACCUACAAUUCUUUUAAAUGAAUGGAAUAAGAAGAAAAAGUUAUCAUAUGAAAAAAGAUAAGAAUUGCUUUAGCUGGGUUAGUUUAAUGUGAUACUUAAAUGAUCUAUAAUUUAAGUUCAUCUGAACUUUGGAUACUUACUAUUGCAUCUUUUGAUGCUUUUUUCUAUUUAAAGACUGAGCGAGUAAACACAUACUAUGUAUUAUUAUGCAAUAAUUGUUUUGUGUUUAUAUCUCAACUGAGCAUAAAGUGCUCAGGGUGAGCUAUUGUGAAUGGUCUUGGUCCGUCAUGGGUCAACAUUUUUUACUUAAACAACAUCUAACCUCUGUGCCAAUCUUAAUGAAACAUGGCACGAGUUUUCUUUCAUGAACCUCUUUCAAAGUUGUUAAUGAAAUGCAUUCCAUGCAUAAAUCUGGUUGCAAUGGCAACCAAAAGGAAAGCUUAUAUAUUUGGCAUAAAACAUCGUCUGGUUGACCUCCUUCGUGAAUUUCAAAAUAUGCUAUACCCAACUCACAGGCAAAUUUGUCCUUAUUUGCUCAUAGUGAACACUUCUUUUAAAAUGGCCAGGAAGAGAGUUCAAGUUUAUAGACAAGAACAACAGUCAGAUGAGCGAUAUAGUGUCAUCAUGGCACCUUUAUAGCUGAAUCAUUUAUGAAAAAUUGUCAAUUAUAUGUUCUGUGACUUGUAUGAUUUGCAGUAUUCAUUUCGCUGUCUUCAUGCACCUUACAAAAGCCAUUUUAUUAUCAGUGUUCCUGAUUCUGUUGUAGCAUUUAUUCUUGAAAUUCGUUAUUUUUCAUAUUUUUCCUAAUUGUUAUGCUCCCGAAAUACAAUUUCGCCGGAGCAUAUAGUUUCCAGUUUGUCCUUCCUCACUAGUUUCCCAUAGCACCUUCAAUUCUUUACCGAUCUCUUUCAUAUUAGGCAUGUAGGUACCUUGCAUGGACCUUAACCUUUUGAUGAGGUCACUGGGGUCAAGGUCACCAAGGCUUAUAAUAGAUUUUUCCGUCACACUUUUGUCACAGUUUCUCAUAGCACAUUCAAUACUUUAACGAUCUCUUUCAUAUUUGGCACGUAGGUACCUUGCAUGACCUCUUCCUUUUGAUGAGGUUUGAGGUCACUGGGGUCAAUGUCACCGAGGCUAAUAAUAGAAUUUUUUAAGGUGGUUAUUAACACAUAGAUUGACAUAGCGCAUCAUCGGGGAGCAUCCAUCAGUUUCACUGAUAUUCUUGUUGUAUGUUAUAUACGUGAUCAUAGAUACUGUAAAUUUUGUCUUAUGCGACAUGUUUAUAAUGUAGAAGAUGAGUACCCUGUGUUUAUGCAGUGCCCAUUAUAUAACACAGAUAUGAUUUGUUUAUUCCGCUGUGUUUGAAUGAAAUGGAAACUUUGGUUUGUUCAAUAUGUUAAUGGCCGAUGAAAAUGACAAGCACAUAUUUUUGAUUGCAAAAUGUGUGUAUGUGCAUGCUAAUAUAUAACAACUACGUAAUUAUCAUGCAAAUUAGCUGUCAUUUUAAUUCUGCAUGCUUGAAUUGCAUUGUUUAUUUAUAUCUGAUAAAAAAUACUGAUUCUUAGGUUACUUAUAAGUAUGUUACUAUUUGCAUGCUUACAUGUUAUAGGUAGUUAAUUAUAAAGUAAUCCUUGUUUUGGUGGUAUUAUAAUGUAUAGCAGCAUUUGUUCUACGAAAGUGCAUGCGUGUUGCAUCAUAUGACUUUGUUUUCUUUAACUAUUCAGGUUAUUUUAUAUAAUUAUGAAAUUAAACUAUGUAUUAUGGCCCUGUGGCCUGACUGCAAAUAAAUAUUCGUAUUUGUA